GAUGAACGCUGGCGGCGUGCUUAACACAUGCAAGUCGAACGGAAAGGCCCAAGCUUGCUUGGGUACUCGAGUGGCGAACGGGUGAGUAACACGUGGGUGAUCUGCCCUGCACUUCGGGAUAAGCCUUGGAAACUGGGUCUAAUACCGGAUAGGACGAUGGUUUGGAUGCCAUUGUGGAAAGUUUUUUCGGUGUGGGAUGAGCUCGCGGCCUAUCAGCUUGUUGGUGGGGUAAUGGCCUACCAAGGCGUCGACGGGUAGCCGGCCUGAGAGGGUGUACGGCCACAUUGGGACUGAGAUACGGCCCAGACUCCUACGGGAGGCAGCAGUGGGGAAUAUUGCACAAUGGGCGCAAGCCUGAUGCAGCGACGCCGCGUGGGGGAUGACGGCCUUCGGGUUGUAAACUCCUUUCGCUAGGGACGAAGCGUUUUUGUGACGGUACCUGGAGAAGAAGCACCGGCUAACUACGUG
rnacentral:rRNA from 1 species